CUAGCAACUGCCCAAGCUAAACCUCUGUCUUGGCUUCCAGGUUGCAGAGCCCAGAAAACUGCAAAUUUCAUAACUGAAGAUGCAAACUGGGGAACUGUUGCCCAAGACUUUGUCACCUUGAGACUUGGCUGCAAUCCAAGGCUACGUCUAAGAAAAGCCCUAAAAUAUUUUCUGGUCAACUGAAACAGUAUCCUAGAGGAGCAGGCAUUUGUUGGUGAGGUAAAUACUGUUUUCUGGUCAAGUCCAGCUGCAGCUGUUUGGC